UUACGUCGGGGGACCCAUGAGGGGGACCUUCGGGCCUCUUGCCAUCAGAUGUGCCCAGAUGGGAUUAGCUAGUAGGUGGGGUAAUGGCUCACCUAGGCGACGAUCCCUAGCUGGUCUGAGAGGAUGACCAGCCACACUGGAACUGAGACACGGUCCAGACUCCUACGGGAGGCAGCAGUGGGGAAUAUUGCACAAUGGGCGCAAGCCUGAUGCAGCCAUGCCGCGUGUGUGAAGAAGGCCUUCGGGUUGUAAAGCACUUUCAGCGAGGAGGAAGGUGGUGAACUUAAUACGUUCAUCAAUUGACGUUACUCGCAGAAGAAGCACCGGCUAACUCCGUGCCAGCAGCCGCGGUAAUACGGAGGGUGCAAGCGUUAAUCGGAAUUACUGGGCGUAAAGCGCACGCAGGCGGUUUGUUAACUCAGAUGUGAAAUCCCCGGGCUCAACCUGGGAACUGCAUUUGAAACUGGCAA
rnacentral:rRNA from 1 species